GCCGGGCAUGGUGGCGCAUGCCUGUAAUCCCAGCUCCUCAGGAGGCUGAGGCGGGAGAAUCGCUUGAACCCAGGAGGCAGAAGUUGCAGUGAGCCGAGAUCGCGUCACUGCACUUCAGCCUGGGCGACAGAGCAAGACUCUGUCUCAA
rnacentral:SRP_RNA from 1 species